AAGUGCUCUGCUGCUCCCACUUGGACCCGGCUGUUACUCAAGAACAGAUUCUUUUCAUCGAAGAAUUUCCACUGGACUUCGUUAAAGGGUUUAUCCCUUACAGCUGAAGGAGUCCUUACCGCUAAUAAUUUAACAAGAUCUUACCAUAUGGCAAGUUGUGGACAUGACAGAGCAGUGUGGCUGGGAGAUGAAGAGAAGCUAAGCAGUCCAAGAGUCACUUUCUGAUGGUUGUAAUGCAGGCUCUGAGGCAUCCCAGUUUCCCAGCUAAAAGUUCAGAAAAAGAAGGCAAUAACGUCCUGCCCUCUAGACACUUGAGCAGGACCAAUUAUACUCAUCAGCAAGAGCUCAUGCUUCUGGUGAGGCAUACUACAGGAAUUCAGCAGAAGCUGCGGAAGGAAUCAAGAUAGGCUUCACAAGAAAAAUAGCAUGUGGAGGAGAUCUGGACAUGCAAAGAUGGAAGAAAGGAUAUUCCAUACAAAUAAAAUCAGUAACAUGAGCAAAUCAGGAAAUGAAAA